rnacentral:rRNA from 1 species
CAUAGCGACUAUCGUGGCAUAUCAAUAAGCGGAGGAAAAGAAACUAACAAGGAUUCCCUUAGUAACGGCGAGUGAAGCGGGAAGAGCUCAAAUUUGAAAUCUUCAAGGUUCUACCUUGACGAAUUGUAGUUUAUAAAGUGUUUUCUGUUAGUAGAGUGGCAAAAGUUCUUUGGAAUAGGACAUCAUAGAGGGUGAGAAUCCCGUAUUUGGUCAUUCUUUCUAGCUUUGUGAUACACUUUCAACGAGUCGGAUUGUUUGGGAAUGCAGUCCAAAAUGGGUGGUAAAUUUCAUCUAAAGCUAAAUAUUGGCGAGAGACCGAUAGCGAACAAGUACCGUGAGGGAAAGAUGAAAGGAACUUUGAAAAGAGAGUUAAACAGUACGUGAAAUUGUCAAAAGGGAAGCGUUUGACACCAGUGUUGUUUUUCCGAAAAUCAAUUACGAAUGUUUUAGUUUUUGAGAAGUUAUGACUUCAUCGGCUUGCUUCUCUCUUUAUGAAACUUUCUUAAUGCACUUUUCGGUUAACGAGUCAACAUCAAUUUCUUUUGUUGUAAAAGGGUAUGAGGAAGGUGGCUUUCUUUUCGGAGAAGUGUUUAUAGCCUUGUAGCCUCUGCAAUCGGAGAGAUUGAGGUCUGCAGCGUAGAUCCUUCGGGGUUAGAUACAUUUGUGCUAAGUUAUAGCUUUUCAUAGACAACUUGUUGACUAUGUUUAGUCUUGUAGCUUACUCGCUUAUGCUAUUUUACCUACGCUUAGGAUGUUGAUAUGCAUGACUGAUAU